rnacentral:tRNA from 1 species
GGGGGCGGAUGGGGUCUGGUGGCCUCCUCGGUCUUCAAAACCGAUGCGACCCGGUUCCGCCGGGUUUGGUGGGUUCGAUUCCCGCACGCUUCCGCCA